GAAGCAACAGCAGAAGAGAGAGAGAGAGAGAGAGAGAGAGAGAGGUUCUGCAGCCCUAGUUUGACCGAUACUACCACGAUCUGAUUUUCUCUCUUUCUGUUUCAUCAUUUCGAUUUCUUUUUCUUCAGUUUCUGUUUUCUUCGGCUCUAUAGUUCCUUUGUGGUCUUCGGCAUUUGAAAACUCUGAUUGAUCUGAAUUUUCUGAUUCCGAACUUUUCUUACGUCCUCUUUCAAUUUCUUUGCGGGUGCUUCGUAGUUGCUUCAACUUUGGGUUUUAAAAGAGGUGAUUCUUGCUGUCGAUACGUGGAGAGGAAAAUUUUCAACUGGAUGUUUUCAUUAGAUUUGACGGUAUCCCUUUUGCCGGUCAGGAUCUGUGGAAUCUUAAAUUCAGCUGUAAUGUUGGCGCUGGAUGCUUCGCCUGUGCCACAAGUUAUUGGAGCAUGGUCGGUCAAUUCUCUACUCAAUUAACUGACACCAACAGGUAUUCUUAUUUCUCUUUAGAACUGCCUUUUGAGCUGACAUGGGCUUUUAGCUCUGGUAAUUCAUCAAUCAUAUUUAAUUCUCUUUUGAUCAAUGAAUGAGUCCUUUUGUUUGUGAGAAAGGUGAUUUCUCUAUGAAAUAUGAAAGGGUCGAUGCAGCUAAUUUAGCAGUUUGGUCCUAAUUUAGUUGCCAUUCUUGCUGAAUGGAUGUCCUUUCUGACCCCUAAUUGUGAUCCUUAACUUGAUUGAGCACCCACUUAUAGGGUUCAAUGAGUCCUUUAUUUAUUUUUUUUCUCUAUAAUUCCCAAAUCUUAUGUCUAGUUUGCAAGGUUUGAGGUCUUGGUUUCGCUUGUGAUUUCACCAAGGCCAAAAGCCAAGAUCUGGUGAGAUCAGGGCGAAACUUUGAUAUAUUUUGUUAGGGAAACUUGGGGAUGGGUUUCGAAGGCCUUAUGGCCAAGUUAGCCUCUGAAACUUGUCAUCUAGCUUAUUUUAGGCCUUCUAAACACAAUGGAAACAUUAGAUUUUAAAAAAUAAAACCCAAAAGGAUACUUUGACCUCGGACCCUAGGUUGGUAGUGUUUGGCGAAGGUGAACUCUACCCUAGGCUAUUCCACACAAAAUGGUGCUUGUACUGACAAGGGUUCUUGAGAAGAAAUGGAGCUCUAAGAGUUGAUGUUGCUUCAAUCUUUAAGUGGUGAAAUUGACAAUUCUCAGCUAUAGAGGUGAGAGUUGGCAAGAAGCACCAAAAAAUAAAGUCUUGUGGGGUUUUUCUUCACAAGGAGAGACAAACGAGAAAGGUGAGAACUAGCGAGAAAGAUGUGAAAUCCUGUCGAAAUGGGGUUUAAAACAUCACGUAACUUGGGUUGGUUCGACCGAGUUGAGUCAAAACCGAGAAAAGAACUAAAAUAUCAGUGAUAUUUUAGUUUUCUAGUAUCACCUAUGGUCUUGAAUCAUCAAAUCCAAAAAACGAGAUCUAAGCAAGAUCUCGGCGAGACCUCGAACCGUGCUAGUUUGGACUUCUUGUGGUUUUCUUUCAGUUGAAGAUUUAUAGGGAGCUAUCACUUUCUAGAACAAUAGGGAAAUAAUACACUUAUGGAACACAAGCAAAUUAGGGCCUCUUUUUUCUUCCAUUGGAAUUAGCGGGAAAUUAAGGAAAAAAUGUAAAAUAAACAUUUAAAGCUUACCCUUAUGAUAGAAUAAGUAAUGAAAGUUAAUAUCAAGGCUUAAGAUCUCGAUCUCGCCCCUUAAUCUCGCUAAGCCAAAAAAGAGAGAUCAAGAUCUUGCAUUUUUUCCCGGUCGACUCGGUGGUUGGUCUCAGUGGCCAUAUGGCCUUUGUAGCCCUUGAAACUUGUCAUUCAACCUAUUUGGCCUUCUAAACACAGUGGAAACAUCCGUUUUAUAAAAAUCAAACCUAAAAGGGUAUUUUGACUUCGUACCCUGUUUAAGUAGUCUCCGACUCUUCGGACCUAGGCUAGUAUGCUCUAUUCCACAAUUCACAUUCCACAUUCCACACAUGACACAACAUCUAAUACUUUUAGAAGUUAGGACACAUAUAUUCAAUUUAAAAAGUGUAAAUAAUCAUAAGAAUUUAAAAGAUAUCAUGGAUAAUUACUUAAUUGUUUAACAUUUAACAUUGAUGAUUGAUGAGUGAUGACUGAUGAUUCACAUUCACAUACAUUGAAAUGACUUUGGAUAAGCCACAUAACUACAUAGGUACAAUACAUAUUACAUAGCACAUGUAGGGUAGGAAUGAAGUUUGGCAAGCCAAAGGCACCAAAAUCCCAUUAACAAUGUGUUUUUUCUUCAAAGUGUAGUGAGAGAGUCGAAGUUUGGGCUAUUUCUUGAUGAGAUGGGGUUGAGAUUUGGUGAGAUCUCGGUCUGGAUAUGGUUGAUUUUGUGUAUCACUUGUCAUCUCGUCUUAGAAAUCCAAAAAGAGAGAUAUUAAUGAGAUCUUGCCGAGAUCGUAAAUCAUGAGUUAAUUUACGCCAUGUGAGUUUUUGGUGUAGAUGAGUGAUGGCACCAAUGAACUUGUGACUGUGAGAAUGUUGCAAGUGAGUAUAAAUAAUUGUAGUGUAAACACUUGUAGUAUAAGUUGUCUUUCAGCCACUAUUUAUUUUGCAGGCCCACUUUCUUUGUGUCAUGUCGCAGUUCUUUAUUGAAAUUUAAGAUUUUGUGAACAUGGUAAAAUGCUUUCCUAUAUCUUUUAGAACUCUCCGGAGAAUCUUCUACAGUCUCCCUGUAAUACUGAUGGGAUGUAAUCCUGGGAAAUAACUAAUAUCUGAGCAGCAACUCAAAACUAACCUUAUCUCUUCCAAUCUACCUCCUUUCGUUAUUGGGUCAGCUUGACUCAGAUAUACUUCACAUGUUUCUAGCGAUUCACAUGGCAUCAUCAAAUGAUACAAGUCUUGGAUAAGAAUCUACAACGCACUAGAGCGCCCUUGUUGAUGAUCCUUUACUCCGACAGCAUCUAGGGUUCCUCGAAUAAUGUGGUAUCUAGAAUUCUUAUAUGGUAGAAAAUUCAUCUAUCUUGAUUAUUUCACAAGAAAAAGGAAAAAAAGAAAAAAAGGAAGAAAACAGAGGAUCUGUUGAAUUUCAAAUAUUCAAUUUCACCAAUAAGAUACGGAGGCUUACUUCACAUUUGGAAUUGCACAGAAAAGACCCAAUUAGGAUUUUCCUUGGGAGGUAUCAGGAAAGAAUUGGAAUGUAAUAAAUAUUGAUUCAUACAAAAGAAAGAGUUAUAUUGAUUCAAAUGCUGUUCCGAUGGAAUAGAAAAAGAGGAGGAAGAAAAAAACCAAAGAUUUCGCAUAGUACUUUUGAUAAAAAAAAAUAAUAAUAAAUAAAUAAAAUUAAAAUCUAAUUUAUUUCUUACCCUUCACUCGAUGAGAAAAUGGGUCAGAUUCUACAGGAUGGAUCAAACAUGUGGGACUUCAGGAAGAUGAAAGGGAAUGAAAAAUAAAAAGAAAAUUGGGGAUCAAUCAAUAUACUUGUAAUGUUGAAUCAGAAUAAACUAGGACAGAAAUAAGGGUCGAACUCUUCUUUGGCGUCAAUGUAAUACCUAUGAAUAGUCAUCGACUUCCAGGGAAAGGGUAGGAGAAUGGGACCUA